rnacentral:tRNA from 2 species
GGGCCUGUAGCUCAGUUGGGAGAGCGCCGCGUUCGCAAUGCGGAGGCCAGGGGUUCGAUCCCCCUCAGGUCCACCA